UACGAAGGGAGCUAGCGUUGUUCGGAAUCACUGGGCGUAAAGCGCACGUAGGCGGAUGUGUCAGUCAGGGGUGAAAUCCCGGAGCUCAACUUCGGAACUGCCCUUGAUACAGCACGUCUUGAGUCCGGAAGAGGUGGGUGGAAUUCCUAGUGUAGAGGUGAAAUUCGUAGAUAUUAGGAAGAACACCGGUGGCGAAGGCGGCCCACUGGUCCGGUACUGACGCUGAGGUGCGAAAGCGUGGGGAGCAAACAGGAU
rnacentral:rRNA from 1 species